UUCAUCUCAGCCCUUCCUCCUCCUUUCUUUCUUACGUUUCUUUUUUCCUUUUUUUUCACUCCCACAGUCUUUUCGUUUUCCCUUCGUUUCAUUUUCAAUUGAUCAGUUUCUCAAUAGAUAAAUAGGGAGCUGCACACACACCAGAGGGAAACGAAUUGAAGUCGAUGGAGGAGAUAUGAUCGAGGCUGGCAGGAACGACGGCAAGACAAUUCAACGGAAAUGGAAUUAAACGCAGACAGACCGAUCGAUUGAGGUGGCAGCGGAGGCAAGGUGCGGUGGGCUUCACGAAGCAACUGGAUGAGUUUGCUCGGGAGAUCGGCGAGGUGGUCAGUGUAGAAGGGAGUGACAUGGGAGAGGAACAUGGCUCUAUCAGCGAGGUCUUUGGCGACGCUGGGGUCGGUGCCGAUGCCGGAGAUGGAUCGGUUCUAUCAACAUGGGGAUGAAGAAGAAUUUUGCAAUGUGCUGUUUUUGGUUUCCCUUUCACGCUUCAGUUAUAAAUACCCACUCUAUGUUUGGUACUUUUUCAUCAAUUGCUCUACAGUCUACCCCCAAAGAAUUUCUAUAAACCAAUACAUAGCUUUGGAUGUUUUCCCUAAUUUGUUGCUAAUGUCCCAAAUACAGAAUUGGUUUCUUGAUUUUCCUUGGCUGUUUUUGUUGAGGCACGAGGCAAAAUGUCUCUGGAAUUUCGGAUUCAUGAAUGACUAUAUAAUAUGGGUAAUUUGCUGUUUUGGGUUUCUCUUUCACGCUUCAGGUAUAAAUACCCUCUCUGUGUUUGGUACUUUUUCAUCAAUGUUGCUAACUGCACCAGUUUUGUUUUGCUGAUCUGCACCUUUCUUUAUGCAAAAUUCAUGGCUAAAUUAGCUUAAAUUAAGCAACUUCAAUGGCAUCUUACACUACAUGUAAUUAGUACAGGAUUUAUUAGCAAAUUGCAAAUGAAGUAUACAUAAUUUUCUCAAGCAAAUUGCAAAUGCUUUGCUUGAUGCUGUUCAGAAUAUGAAAGUUGGGGAUGGUUUUAGUGACGGUGUUGUUCAGGGCCCUCUGAUCAAUGAAGCUCCUGUCAAAAAGGUUGAGUCCUUAAUUCAUGAUACUACAUCAAAGAGGGAAAAAGUAAUUAUUGGCGGUAAACGACAUAGUCUUGGACUCACUUUUUAUGAACCAACAUCGUUAGUGAUGUCCACAAUGAUAUGUGCAUAUCUAGAGAGGAAGCAUUUGGACCUGUUGCGCCCCUUUUGAGGUUCAAAACUGAAGAGGAUCCUAUCAGAAUUGCCAACGACACUAACGCAGGAAACAAACCCAUUGGAUUAUGCAUUGAAGAAAUUAACAUCGAAAAACCAUCUACAGCAAGAUGAUAUAGCCAAGGCAUAUCAUGAAUGUAUUAUGCUUGGACCGGUGAUACAUAACCUUGAAAACUUAGUCAGCCAUAGAACUUAGUAGAUUAUGCAGUAAGAAGAGGCAGAAUUCGGAAACUAUGAAGCCUUUGAAACUGAUAUGUGUGCUCUCUCCAUCCUAGGGAAUAACCUUUCAAAAAGAAGAAGCCUCUCAAUAAAAGUGAAGCAGUUGAUGUUUCUAAUUUGCAUUGAAGAAAUUAACAUGGGAAAAAGUACUAGAGUGGAAGCUUUUUUUCAGGCAUGUUUAUAUAACUGCAAGCGUUCUCAUUCUUCAGUUGUAGCACUUGCUGCACUCAGGUCCACAGAAAGAUCAAGAACCUGAAAAAAAGAACAAAUAAGAUAUUAUGAUCAAGAAAAACAAAUUCAGACUUCCACUGCUCCAUCACAUUUUUUUCUUUUCCCCUUUGAUAUAAUAUUCUAUUGAUGCAACAUUAUAUUUUAGGCAAGAUGCUUUUGUGCUUCCAAAUUAUUGUAUAGUUUGUUAUACACGUAUAUGUAUAUAACUACAAUUAUAACUGUUGAUAUUUUGAUUAAUGAUUAUAACUGUAGAUUUCCUCA